AGUCGAACGCGAAAGAGGGAGCAAUCCCUCAAGUAGAGUGGCGAACGGGUGAGUAACGCGUGAAGAACCUGCCUUCAACAGGGGGAUAACACUCCCAACGGGGUGCUAAUACCGCAUGAGACCACGGGUCCGCAUGGACCUGAGGUCAAAGGUGGCCUCUGCUUGCAAGCUACCGGUUGAAGAUGGCUUCGCGUCCCAUUAGCUAGUUGGCGGUGUAAAAGACCACCAAGGCGACGAUGGGUAGCUGGUCUGAGAGGAUGGUCAGCCACACUGGGACUGAGAUACGGCCCAGACUCCUACGGGAGGCAGCAGUCGAGAGGCUUUGGCAAUGGGGGAAACCCUGACCAAGCGACGCCGCGUGGAGGAUGAAGGCCCUUGAGUUGUAAACUCCUUUUGUCGGGGAAGAAAUGCGAUCAGGUGAACAAUCUGGUCGUUUGACGGUACCCGGCGAAUAAGCUCCGGCUAACUCCGUGCCAGCAGCCGCGGUAACACGGGGGGAGCAAGCGUUGUUCGGAAUCACUGGGCGUAAAGGGCGUGUAGGCGGUCAGGUAAGUGGGAUGUGAAAUGCCUCGGCUCACCCGGGGACCUGCAUCCCAAACUGCUUGGCUUGAGUAUGGGAGAGGAUGAGGGAAUUCCUGGUGUAGCGGUGAAAUGCGUAGAUAUCAGGAGGAACACCGGUGGCGAAAGCGCUCAUCUGGCC
rnacentral:rRNA from 1 species